UACAGAGGUCCCAAGCGUUGUUCGGAUUCAUUGGGCGUAAAGGGUGCGUAGGUGGCGCCGUAAGUCGGGUGUGAAAUCCUGGGGCUCAACCCUGGAACUGCAUUGGAUACUGGGAGGCUAGAGUACUGGAGAGGAAACUGGAAUUUACGGUGUAGCAGUGAAAUGCGUAGAGAUCGUAAGGAAGACCAGUGGCGAAGGCGAGUUUCUGGACAGUUACUGACGCUGAGGCACGAAGGCCAGGGGAGCAAACAGG
rnacentral:rRNA from 1 species